rnacentral:misc_RNA from 1 species
AAGACUAUAGACCUGCGGAGUACCUGCGGAGGGAUCAUUAUUGAAUUAUGUUUCUAAAUGGGUUGUAGCUGGCUCGUCAGAGCAUGUGCACGCCUGUUUGGACUUCAUUUUCAUCCACCUGUGCACCUAUUGUUGUCUUUGGUUGGGUAUCAAGGAAGUGGUCAGCCUAUCAGCACUUGCUGGAUGUGAGGACUUGCAGUGUGAAAGCUUUGCUGUCCUUUACUUGAUCAUGGAGUUGUU